CCAUAAUCCUUAUUGCAUUUAGGAAACCUAGCCUGAUGGUAGUGCAGACCCUUCCCACUCUAAUUUCUGACCUACAGAGAAGAGUUACCACAAAGCUCUUCAAGGAUGCCAGAGUUCCUCUCACAGAUUUCUUAUAGUUGUGGUGAAAAGUGUGUUCUCUGGAUCCUCCAGGGCAGUAUUUAGUGAAACAUACAAGUGCCAAGGAAUUGGAAAUAGUAUGAUGAAUGGACUUCAACCUGGAUUAGGAAAUGUUUCCUGCUGUGCCCAUCAGAAGUUCAGUUUUGG